AGCAAACAUUUGUGCUAUGAAAGUAAAUAAAUACUGCACUCUGACCCACAAAACGUAUUUGCUAGAUUCUUCAUAGGGUUGUUACACAAAGCAAGGAAAGUGAGCUUCAAAACGUGAUGUGGAUUUAUUGGGAUUUGCAGCUGCUGUUGGAAGUACCAAUGGAUUUCUGUCACUGAUUGGCCAGAGAACCCGCUCACCUGGUGUCUGUCUCAUAUCUGAAUCAGUCCCUGAUUAGGGGGCAAGGAUAAAAACCAGCUAAUACCUCACCUAAAAACGGAAUGGAUUCAGCGGAGCUACAGCGGCGCCUAACCCAGCAAGAGGAGCGCAUGGAAAUCUGCCAUCUUCUCCGCCAGCCUAUCCCUACUCCUCCGAUGCCAGGCAAAGCCCUGGAUUGGGCCACCGCCAUAUGGAC
rnacentral:lncRNA from 1 species